rnacentral:tRNA from 1 species
UCAGCACCCGUAGCUCAGCUGGAUAGAGCGUUGCCCUCCGAAGGCGGAGGACCCGGCUCUCCGAUAAGCUUGCUGCAUCCA